GUUGCUGCUGGUUCUCUAGGGAGCAUGUGCACACUUGUCGUCUUUAUAUUUCCACCUUGUGCACCUUUUGUAGACCUGGAUAUCUCUCUGAAUGCACACAAGCAUUUGGGUUUGAGGGGUUGACUUUUUGGUCUCCCUUUAUAUUUCCAGGCCUAUGUUUCUUUCAUAUACCCCACUUGUGUUAUAGAAUGUAAUAAAUGGGCCUUUGUGCCUGUAAAGCUAUACAACUUUCAGCAACGGAUCUCUUGGCUCUCGCAUCGAUGAAGAACGCAGCGAAAUGCGAUAAGUAAUGUGAAUUGCAGAAUUCAGUGAAUCAUCGAAUCUUUGAACGCACCUUGCGCUCCUUGGUAUUCCGAGGAGCAUGCCUGUUUGAGUGUCAUUAAUAUAUCAACCUCCUCAACUUGUGUUGAGUGUUGGAUGUGGGGGUUCUUUCUUUGCUGGCUUCACGGUCAGCUCCCCUGAAAUGCAUUAGCGGAACAACCUGUUCACUGUUCAUUGGCGUGAUAACUAUCUACGCUGCUUGUUGACAGUGAAGCAAGUUCAGCUUCUAACAGUCCAUUAAAUUGGACAAAUUUUUAUUAAUGUGACCUCAAAUCAGGUAGGACUACCCG
rnacentral:rRNA from 1 species